CUGAGAAUUGUUCAGAGGUGCCUAUUCCCCGACCGGAACUACAAUUCCCAGAGUAAUUUAACAAUCAAUCCCUCUUCACAGGGAACUCUGCGUAUGUUUGUUUCAGCCCUGAGUGAGAGUCAAGAGGCUGAGUAGGGAAGGAAAAAGAACUGACAGUGGUUUAAGUGGAUGAGUAUGUUUGUAUUAUUGCAAUGUUUUUUAAAUGUUUAUUUUUGUAAAAUUAGUUUUGGUUGUUUGUUGCUGUUUUUGUAUUCUGUGCACCAGGGAUGUCCAACAGGUCGAUCGCAAUCUACUGGUAGAUCCCUGGCAGGUUUUGGUAGAUCACGGUCGGUCGAUGGGUCCCUUUCCUUAGUGUUGGUAAAAUAGAAUCCGGCCCUGAACUCCUCGCUCUGCCCUCCAUUGUUGCACGAUCUGCAGAACGGAAAACGGAGUUUACUCAGUGAGGCAGUUUGUUUCCCCAGCGAUCUGUUGGUAAGUGGCUGCUCCCCUUUCUCCCUUGAGCUUAGGCUUGAAUUCUAAAAAAAUCAGGGCUUUCCUCCUCCCUAAAAAUAGCUCAACAACUUUGACCUGAACCCCCGAAAAGGGGGUAGAUCACUGCCAGUUUUUAAUUCUGUGAGUAGAUCACAGUCUCUUGGGAGUUGGCCACCCCUGCUGUACAUGAUAGAUAGAUAGAUAGAUAGAUAGAUAGAUAAAAAGGUAAAGGGACCCCUGACCAUUAGGUCCAGUUGUGGACGAUUCUGGGGUUGCGGCGCUCAUCUCGCCAAGGGAGCUGACGUACAGCUUCUGGGUCAUGUGGCCAGCAUGACUAAGCCACUUCUGGCAAACCAGAGCAGCACACGGAAACGCCGUUUACCUUCCCGCCGGAGCAGUACCUAUUUAUCUACUUGCACUUUGACGUGCUUUCGAACUGCUAGGUUGGCAGGAGCAGGGACCGAGCAACGGGAGCUCACCCCGUCAUGGGGAUUCAAACAGCUGACCUUCUGAUCGGCAAGUCCUAGGCUCUGUGGUUUAACCCACAGCGUCACCUGCGUCCCUUUGAUAGAUAGAUAGAUAAAAUAAAAGAAUCCAACUCCAUUUACCUGGGAGUAAACCCCACUGUAUUCAAGAGGACUUACUGUUUGAGUAGCUGUCAGUGACUAUUAGCCACAAUGACCGUGCUCUACCUCCAUGGCUGGAGACAGUAAUGCUUUUGAAUACCAGCUGCUGGAAACCACAGAAGAGGAAAAUGCUCUUGUCCUACUUGCGGCCUUCUCAAUGGGGCAUCUAAUUGGUCAGUGUGGGGAAAGGAUGCUAGGCUAGAUGAGCCAUUGGCCUGAUCCAGCAGGUUCUUCUUAUGUUCUUAUAAUGAACAUAUAGAUGAUGGGGUUCUAUUUAUGCAUGUGUGCAUGUGUGUGCGUGUGUGUGUGUGUGUGUGUGUGUGUGUGCAUGUAUAAGAGAGAGAGAGAGAGAAUAGGAGAGAUCGCUAUACUGUUGAGUUCAGUUCUAAAGGAUUGGGUGUCAGUCUCCAAACAAGUCUGCCAUCACGUUUUCCGCAGCAGGGACUUUAUGUCUGUGCACUAUGCUCAGCACCGCAUCUCCAUAGCAAGCCCCAAACCCCAUACAAACAGCACAUCAAAGACAUCUGGAAAGCGGAAGGUAAUUUGCACUGCUUCAACUCCUCACCGAUAAGUCUCCAGCAAUUAUUCUUGCAGAGAGGAGAAUGCAAGUUUCGGUGUAAUUAGGCCAAGCUGAUGUGCUUAAGAACCAAGGUGGAGAGAGAAAAUGGAAUAAAGGGACCCUGCUGACCCUUAGCUAUUUCUUUAAAAUACACACUCAGAGACCACAUUCAGUGAGUUCUCUUCAGACCUUGAAGCAUUUAAAAUAAUGCAGUUUCAUCUCACACCACAGGUUUUUCUUUUCUAUUUUGACUUCCAGCAAAAGAUUCUGGACAUGACGAACAUCAUAGGAGAGAGACUGUGGGGUGGAGGGGAUGCCAGGAGGGUUUUACCUUCUCAGAAAAACAGCGGUGCUAUUGUCUAAUAAACAGUGAAUCCAUAACCAGAGUAAUUUCUCUGCCAGGAACAAAGUGGGGAUUCCUGCAGAAAGUUGACUUGCCAUCAAUUCUGGAGGGUUUUUUGUUCGUUAAUUCUUUAAAGUGAGAGUUGAAACAAGCUGAUUGGUUCUAAGUUUGAAUCUUGAAAACGUAACCAAUUAUUGAGUUCCAUUUGGGGGUUUCGACAAACCUCAAAGCUUGCAGCUAGUGCUAGUCUUAUUAAGAGUAGACCAAUGGAAAAUAAUGACCCAUUGGAAAUAUUGUUGUUGUGAUUGUUUAGUUGUUUAGUCGUGUCCAACUCUUCGUGAUCCCAUGGACCAGAGCACGCCAGGCACUCCUGUCUUCCACUGUCUCCAGCAGUUUGGUCAAACUCAUGCUUGUAGCUUCGAGAACACCGUCCAACCAUCUCAUCCUCUGUCGUCCCCUUCUUUCCCAACAGCAGGGUCUUUUCCAGGGAGUCUUCUCUUCUCAUGAGGUGGCCAAAGUAUUGGAGCCUCAGCUUCAGGAUCUGUCCUUCCAGUGAGCACUCAGGGCUGAUUUCCUUAUGAAUGGAUAGGUUUGAUCUUCUUGCAGUCCAUGGGACUCUCAAGAGUCUCCUCCAGCACCAGAAUUCAAAAGCAUCAAUUCUUUGGUGAUCAGCCUUCUUUAUGGUCCAGCUCUCACUUCCAUACAUCACUACUGGGAGAAGCAUAGCCUUAACUAUACGGACCUUUGUUGGCAAGGUGAUGUCUCUGCUUUUUAAGAUGCUGUCUAGGUUUGUCAUUGCCUGGAAAUAUUGGCUUAUGCCAAUAGCCGAUCUAGUCCAGCAUCCUGUUCUCGCAAUGGCCAACUACAUGCCUGUGCAAACCCCGCAAGCAAGACGCCAGCACUAGAGCACUCUCAGCUCUUGCAGUUUCUGGCAACUGGUAUUCAACCCCUCUUCCCAGGUAACUCUGGGAACUGUGGUUUUGUGAGGAAAAUAGGGGUCUCAACACCCUUAACAAACUACCCUUCCUGUGAUUAUUCGGGGGGAACCACAACUGUGUUGAGUGGUAUGAUACCGAUUUAAAUUCAUAGUUCGGAUGGAGGCAGAGAAUGGUUCAGGGUUAUGAAUAGCUGUUUAUUGUUGCAUUGUUGUGCCUCUGUGGUCUAGUUAUGUGCUUUCCCCCUUCCCAAUUCUAAGAACCCUGUAGCUCAAGGCCACCCCCCAAAACAUCAUACACACAUCACAGAAAGAGGUGGUCCCCAGCAGAAAUUUGAGUGUGUUGCUUCUCUCCUGUUUGCCAGGAUACCUGAUAAUGCCUUAUCUGAAUGCCUUUUCUGGGUAGCCUGGCCAUUCCUUUGAGAUGGUAAAUACUUAGAUCCUGAAUCUCUUACGCAUAUUGAUAGUGUGCUCAGCUUAGCAGAUACUUCUCAGACUGUAUUUGCAGGGAGGUGUAAGCCCCUAUGGUCCAAAGACAAUUGGAAAGCUUUUCCCAUAUCCUUCCUCCUUGCAGAGAAAUAUUUGAGGUCAAUUUGGGAGAGUCAAAAUGGCUGCAGAAUUGUUCUCCUGUACUAUUUCAGACACAUAGUUUAUAUACUUAAGUAUGUGUUUGCCUUGUACAUUUAUGAAAUAUAUAUAUAUAUAUGACCUUAGAAUUCCUAUAACAUACACAAACAUUUUUUACAUGGCAAGGUGUUCCAGAUGUUAGGUUUCUGUUUGUACCACUGCUUCUUCAGCUGCUCUGAUAAAACUGAAACAAUGGUGUUUCCACAGGGGCAGUUCUAGGACUUUGGGGAUGGAAUGCUCAGAAUGGCUUCAUCGGCUGAAUCUUUGCAAAACUGAUCCUAUACUGCAGAUUGUUCAUGCGUCCACCAUCCAGAAGUUCAUUACAUUUUUAUCAGAGCGGCUGCUGAAAGUGGGAGCUGAACUCCUUUGCCACAUUAAAAACCAACAAGGUUAAUCACAAGGAGGGUUAUAAAUUCUAUGAACGGAAAUGAAUUUGCAAGCCAGUCUUUAUAUCUCUGAACUAGUUGCUAUUUGCUGCUGCUGCUGCAUGUGUGUGUGUGUGUGUGUGUGUGUGUGUGUGAUCUUCCGCUUGUUGGUGCUAGUAGUUAAAACGGCAUCUUCUUCCUUACAGCCUCAGAAACUCUUUGCAAACUCAACAGGAUGUAAUCAUACCUUCUCUGCGGAACAGCCACUGUUUCCAUGUUCUUGACCUCAUAUGAUUGCAGGGUUGCAUGAGGCAGCUUUCAACAACAGUUUGAGUUUCAAAAAAGGGGAGCCCUCUGCAUGGAUUGUCAAUGUAAUUGUUUCUCUUAAAAGGCACUCUCUGCCCUUUUAAAUCUUUUCCUUUCAGUCUUCAACCUGUCGUCCUCACACACACACACA
rnacentral:lncRNA from 1 species